rnacentral:tmRNA from 1 species
GGGGCUGAUUCUGGAUUCGACGGGAUUUGCGAAACCCAAGGUGCAUGCCGAGGGGCGGUUGGCCUCGUAAAAAGCCGCAAAAAAUAGUCGCAAACGACGAAAACUACGCUUUAGCAGCUUAAUAACCUGCUUAGAGCCCUCUCUCCCUAGCCUCCGCUCUUAGGACGGGGAUCAAGAGAGGUCAAACCCAAAAGAGAUCGCGUGGAAGCCCUGCCUGGGGUUGAGGCGUUAAAACUUAAUCAGGCUAGUUUGUUAGUGGCGUGUCCGUCCGCAGCUGGCAAGCGAAUGUAAAGACUGACUAAGCAUGUAGUACCGAGGAUGUAGGAAUUUCGGACGCGGGUUCAACUCCCGCCAGCUCCACCA